CAUGACGUAGCAGUAGGAAAACCCCAUGGAUCUGAACUGCAGUGCUUAUGGCAGCCCUGGCACUCAUCCUGUGGCCCCUGAGUGCUGUGCUGUUGAGGCUGGAAGCGGCGAGGCCAGCGGCUCCAUCC